GACGAACGCUGGCGGCGUGCUUAACACAUGCAAGUCGAACGGAAAGGCCCUGCUUGCAGGGUACUCGAGUGGCGAACGGGUGAGUAACACGUGGGUGAUCUGCCCUGCACUUCGGGAUAAGCCUGGGAAACUGGGUCUAAUACCGGAUAGGAGCCAUUUUUAGUGUGAUGGUUGGAAAGUUUUUUCGGUGUAGGAUGAGCUCGCGGCCUAUCAGCUUGUUGGUGGGGUAAUGGCCUACCAAGGCGGCGACGGGUAGCCGGCCUGAGAGGGUGGACGGCCACAUGGGGACUGAGAUACGGCCCAGACUCCUACGGGAGGCAGCAGUGGGGAAUAUUGCACAAUGGGCGCAAGCCUGAUGCAGCGACGCCGCGUGGGGGAUGACGGCCUUCGGGUGGUAAACUCCUUUCGCUAGGGACGAAGCUUUUUGUGACGGGACCUAGAUAAGAAGCACCGGCUAACUACG
rnacentral:rRNA from 1 species